AGAGUUUGAUCAUGGCUCAGGACGAACGCUGGCGGCGUGCCUAAUACAUGCAAGUAGAACGCUGAAGAGAGGAGCUUGCUCUUCUUGGAUGAGUUGCGAACGGGUGAGUAACGCGUAGGUAACCUGCCUUGUAGCGGGGGAUAACUAUUGGAAACGAUAGCUAAUACCGCAUAACAAUGGAUGACCCAUGUCAUUUAUUUGAAAGGGGCAAAUGCUCCACUACAAGAUGGACCUGCGUUGUAUUAGCUAGUAGGUGAGGUAACGGCUCACCUAGGCGACGAUACAUAGCCGACCUGAGAGGGUGAUCGGCCACACUGGGACUGAGACACGGCCCAGACUCCUACGGGAGGCAGCAGUAGGGAAUCUUCGGCAAUGGGGGCAACCCUGACCGAGCAACGCCGCGUGAGUGAAGAAGGUUUUCGGAUCGUAAAGCUCUGUUGUAAGUCAAGAACGAGUGUGAGAGUGGAAAGUUCACACUGUGACGGUAGCUUACCAGAAAGGGACGGCUAACUACGUGCCAGCAGCCGCGGUAAUACGUAGGUCCCGAGCGUUGUCCGGAUUUAUUGGGCGUAAAGCGAGCGCAGGCGGUUUGAUAAGUCUGAAGUUAAAGGCUGUGGCUCAACCAUAGUUCGCUUUGGAAACUGUCAAACUUGAGUGCAGAAGGGGAGAGUGGAAUUCCAUGUGUAGCGGUGAAAUGCGUAGAUAUAUGGAGGAACACCGGUGGCGAAAGCGGCUCUCUGGUCUGUAACUGACGCUGAGGCUCGAAAGCGUGGGGAGCGAACAGGAUUAGAUACCCUGGUAGUCCACGCCGUAAACGAUGAGUGCUAGGUGUUGGAUCCUUUCCGGGAUUCAGUGCCGCAGCUAACGCAUUAAGCACUCCGCCUGGGGAGUACGACCGCAAGGUUGAAACUCAAAGGAAUUGACGGGGGCCCGCACAAGCGGUGGAGCAUGUGGUUUAAUUCGAAGCAACGCGAAGAACCUUACCAGGUCUUGACAUCCCGAUGCUAUUUCUAGAGAUAGAAAGUUACUUCGGUACAUCGGUGACAGGUGGUGCAUGGUUGUCGUCAGCUCGUGUCGUGAGAUGUUGGGUUAAGUCCCGCAACGAGCGCAACCCCUAUUGUUAGUUGCCAUCAUUCAGUUGGGCACUCUAGCGAGACUGCCGGUAAUAAACCGGAGGAAGGUGGGGAUGACGUCAAAUCAUCAUGCCCCCUAUGACCUGGGCUACACACGUGCUACAAUGGUUGGUACAACGAGUUGCGAGUCGGUGACGGCAAGCUAAUCUCUUAAAGCCAAUCUCAGUUCGGAUUGUAGGCUGCAACUCGCCUACAUGAAGUCGGAAUCGCUAGUAAUCGCGGAUCAGCACGCCGCGGUGAAUACGUUCCCGGGCCUUGUACACACCGCCCGUCACACCACGAGAGUUUGUAACACCCGAAGUCGGUGAGGUAACCUUUUGGAGCCAGCCGCCUAAGGUGGGAUAGAUGAUUGGGGUGAAGUCGUAACAAGGUA
rnacentral:rRNA from 1 species